CCUACGGGUGGCUGCAGUCGGGAAUAUUGCGCAAUGGAGGAAACUCUGACGCAGUGACGCCGCGUGCAGGAAGAAGGUUUUCGGAUUGUAAACUGCUUUAGAUAGGGAAGAAAAACGCCAGUACCUGUAGCCUACGCUCCGGCUAACUACGUGCCAGCAGCCGCGGUAAUACGGAGGGAGCCAGCGUUAUCCGGAUUUAUUGGGUGUAAAGGGUGCGUAGACGGAGAAGCAAGUUAGUUGUGAAAUCCCUCGGCUUAACUGAGGAACUGCAACUAAAACUAUUUCCCUUGAGUACUGGAGAGGAAAGUGGAAUUCCUAGUGUAGCGGUGAAAUGCGUAGAUAUUAGGAGGAACACCAGUGGCGAAGGCGACUUGCUGGACAGUAACUGACGUUGAGGCACGAAAGUGUGGGGAGCAAACAGGAUUAGAUACCCGUGUAGUC
rnacentral:rRNA from 1 species